UGCCGACGUGCUUUUUCCGCUGUUGUAAGGGUGAUUUGGAUUCAAAAUAACUAGCUACCAGUUUAUCUGACGCUCAUUUUCUAACGGGCGAAGGAUAUUCCAUAUUUCUCUUAGCUAUAACAUCACAGCCUUUUAAUGGCCGAAUACUGGAGUCAUCAGAAGAAAUAGCAUCUUGACGCGAAUAGUCAAAUACUGUAACCGUACCCUAUUAUUUUCAACCCAUUUUAAUUGAUAUUCUACCGGAGGACUUAUAUCGGAACCGGAGUAAAUAGCAAUUUCGAGGCCAUCCGUCGCUAUUUCAAUGGAGGGAUCUGGACGCGAUCAUUGCUGCGGUAAUGAUAUGUGGUUUCUCUAGGAAGGCUGCCCCUGAUGUGAUGCACUGCACUUUAAUGCAACACUGAAUAAAUACAGGUGUGUGAGGGGGAGACUCAUGACACGUCUUCGGAGCACGAGGAGUUCCUUCAGCCAGUCAGCCGUCCGCACCAUGAGGUCAUCACUGGAG